rnacentral:rRNA from 1 species
UACAGAGGGUGCGAGCGUUAAUCGGAAUUACUGGGCGUAAAGCGUGCGCAGGCGGUUUUGUAAGCCAGAUGUGAAAUCCCCGGGCUUAACCUGGGAAUGGCAUUUGGGACUGCAAGGCUGGAGUGUGGCAGAGGAGACUGGAAUUCCUGGUGUAGCAGUGAAAUGCGUAGAUAUCAGGAGGAAUACCGAUGGCGAAGGCAGGUCUCUGGGCUAACACUGACGCUCAUGCACGAAAGCGUGGGGAGCAAACAGG